AUUAUGAGGAAGGAAUUGGUGGCAGUGGUGGCAGGGGACGGAAAGGAAGGAUGGCACUCUACGUUGCUAGCUAGUCGGAGCGGGCGGCGAAGCGCUCGACAUGUAUCUUGGGGUCGGAGAGGUUGAUGCCAACCAUGGCCUCGCCGAGCCCACUGCUGACCUCCGCCAGAAUCUUGGGAUCGCUGUAGUGGGUGACAGCCUGCACGAUGGCACGGGCGCGCAGCGCGGGGUCGCCGCUCUUGAAGAUGCCGGAGCCGACGAAGACGCCGUCGCAGCCGAGCUGCAUCAUGAGGGCAGCGUCGGCGGGGGUGGCCACCCCACCUGCCGCGAACUGCACGACGGGGAGACGCCCCAGCUGCUUGGUCUGCAUGACCAGGUCGUAGGGCGCCGCGAUGCGCUUGGCGUAGGAGAAGACCUCGUCGUCG
rnacentral:misc_RNA from 1 species